GGUCGCUGGAGGAGAUGAUCCCUUCGGUGAUGACGAUGACAUGGAUGAUGAUGAGGAUGCACCUGGAGGACCUGGUGGACCUGGACGACCUAGAGGUCAAGAUGGACUUUUCGCUGCUGAUGAUGGGUGGAUUGUGACAGUCUGCACAAGGGAUGGUGGAGAGUCUUUCUUCUACAGCGAGCUGAAGCGUCUCCUUGACCAGCAGCUAGAACAUGGCAUGUUCGCAGUGGAGUACCGCAGUGAGCACUGGAGUCACCCGGAGUACCCGACGUACUGGAGGGUCUGGGCACACGUCGGCAGGCCUAACCCAACGUUGAGAGCACUGAGGAUCAUGUCUAUACAUGAAGCUGUGGCAGAGAGGUCUACUCAGAUGGCGGGCAUU
rnacentral:lncRNA from 1 species